rnacentral:rRNA from 1 species
AACGCUAGCUACAGGCUUAACACAUGCAAGUCGAGGGGCAGCAUGAACUUAGCUUGCUAAGUUUGAUGGCGACCGGCGCACGGGUGAGUAACGCGUAUCCAACCUUCCGCUCGCUCAGGGAUAGCCUUUCGAAAGAAAGAUUAAUACCUGAUGGUUUAUGUUUCCUGCAUGGGGGGCAUAAUAAAGAUUUAUCGGCAAGCGAUGGGGAUGCGUUCCAUUAGAUAGUAGGCGGGGUAACGGCCCACCUAGUCGACGAUGGAUAGGGGUUCUGAGAGGAAGGUCCCCCACAUUGGAACUGAGACACGGUCCAAACUCCUACGGGAGGCAGCAGUGAGGAAUAUUGGUCAAUGGACGAGAGUCUGAACCAGCCAAGUAGCGUGAAGGAUUACAGCCCUAUGGGUUUUAAACUUCUUUUAUAAGGGAAUAAAAGAGACUACGUGUAGUCUAUUGUAUGUACCUUAUGAAUAAGCAUCGGCUAACUCCGCGCCAGCAGCCGCGGUAAUACGGAGGAUGCGAGCGUUAUCCGGAUUUAUUGGGUUUAAAGGGUGCGUAGGCCGGAAGGUAAGUCAGCGGUGAAAAGUUGCAGCUCAACUGUAACCGUGCCGUUGAAACUGUCUUCCUUGAGUGCGGACAAGGCAGGCGGAACUCGUGGUGUAGCGGUGAAAUGCUUAGAUAUCACGAAGAACUCCGAUUG